rnacentral:rRNA from 1 species
GACGAACGCUGGCGGCGUGCCUAAUACAUGCAAGUAGAACGCUGAAGGAGGAGCUUGCUUCUCUGGAUGAGUUGCGAACGGGUGAGUAACGCGUAGGUAACCUGCCUGGUAGCGGGGGAUAACUAUUGGAAACGAUAGCUAAUACCGCAUAAGAGUAGAUGUUGCAUGACAUUUGCUUAAAAGGUGCAAUUGCAUCACUACCAGAUGGACCUGCGUUGUAUUAGCUAGUUGGUGGGUAACGGCUCACCAAGGCGACGAUACAUAGCCGACCUGAGAGGGUGAUCGGCCACACUGGGACUGAGACACGGCCCAGACUCCUACGGGAGGCAGCAGUAGGGAAUCUUCGGCAAUGGACGGAAGUCUGACCGAGCAACGCCGCGUGAGUGAAGAAGGUUGUCGGAUCGUAAAGCUCUGUUGUAAGAGAAGAACGAGUGUGAGAGUGGAAAGUUCACACUGUGACGGUAGCUUACCAGAAAGGGACGGCUAACUACGUG